rnacentral:lncRNA from 1 species
AGUCGAAGAAGACUCGCCGUCGUCGUCCCUACCAUUCGUCACCGUCUACCCCGGAACCCAGAUCCGAAGAAACGGAGGGGAGGAGGGCAGUGGCAGCGCUGCCCGACGCCAUCCUCGCCGCUGCCCUCCUCGCCGCCUCAACACCAGCAACCAGCCGAACCCCCCUGCCUGCCGUCCUCCGUCCGAGCCUCGCACCGGCCCACACCUCCGCGCUGCUGCUCUUGCUCUGCUCGUCACCGCUACUCCGCGCCCCUGAAGUCACAACACUGCCUUUGGCCAGAUCUGCCGGCCUUGCCUCUGCCCAGAUCUGUCGUGCCGAAGCACGACCCCGUGGCAUCGCGCGUCCACGCAUCGUCACUGCUGCAAUCUGAGUGACCCACUGCACCAAGCCACCGCCCUCCUGUCCAAGCACCAGAUCCCGAGCCCCCACGACGCCGCCUCUGCUCCUGGUUGCUAAUCCUCGCCGCCGAGUCCCGUCUCGCCUAGCCACCGCACGCCUCGGCCGCGUCUUCGCUGAGUCCCGACGACGGCAGAUCGAGCUGGUCGUCACUCCACCGCCAAGCGAGCCCCCCCACCGGCCCACACCUCCGCGCUGCUGCUCCUGGCCGCGUCUCCACCAGUCACCGCCGCGCUCCGUCUCACCUGCAGUCCACCGC